rnacentral:rRNA from 1 species
UGACCCGUCUUGAAGCACGGACCAAGGAGUUUAACAUGUGCGCAAGUCGCUCGGACUUGAAUAGGCCAGAGAGGCGCAAUGAAAGUAAAGCUGAUUGAAUAACGAUCCUGAUUUUUUACCUUUAAAGGUAAAGGUCAGGCGCAGUUAUAGCCCGGCGAUUUCGCUUAUUGACGAUUUGCCGGAGUUUAGCGUUCAUGUUGAGACCCGAAAGAUGGUGAACUAUGCUUGGGCAAGACGAAGCCAGAGGAAACUCUGGUGGAGGUCUGUAGCGAUUCUGACGUGCAAAUCGAUCGUCAGACCUGAGUAUAGGGGCGAAAGACUAAUCGAACCAUCUAGUAGCUGGUUCCCUCUGAAGUUUCCCUCAGGAUAGCAGACACUCGGUGAGAUUCAGUCUCAUCCGGUAAAGCGAAUGAUUAGAGGCAUUGGGGCCGAAACGGCCUCAACCUAUUCUCAAACUUUAAAUGGGUGAGAAGCCUGACUUGUUUGAUUAAAGCCAAGCUUUGGAUGUAUGAGUGCCUAGUGGGCCAUUUUUGGUAAGCAGAACUGGCGCUGUGGG